AACGAACGCUGGCGGCAGGCCUAACACGUGCAAGUCGAGCGAGGACUUCGGUCCUAGCGGCGGACGGGUGAGUAACGCGUGGGAACGUGCCCCUUGGUACGGAAUAGCCCCGGGAAACUGGGAGUAAUACCGUAUGAGCUCUACGGAGGAAAGAUUUAUCGCCAAGGGAUCGGCCCGCGUUGGAUUAGGUAGUUGGUGGGGUAAUGGCCUACCAAGCCGACGAUCCAUAGCUGGUUUGAGAGGAUGAUCAGCCACACUGGGACUGAGACACGGCCCAGACUCCUACGGGAGGCAGCAGUGGGGAAUCUUAGACAAUGGGCGCAAGCCUGAUCUAGCCAUGCCGCGUGAGCGAUGAAGGCCUUAGGGUUGUAAAGCUCUUUCAGCUGGGAAGAUAAUGACUGUACCAGCAGAAGAAGCCCCGGCUAACUCCGUGCCAGCAGCCGCCGUAAAAC
rnacentral:rRNA from 1 species